rnacentral:rRNA from 1 species
CCUACGGGCGGCAGCAGUGGGGAAUAUUGGACAAUGGGGGCAACCCUGAUCCAGCCAUGCCGCGUGUGUGAAGAAGGCCCUCGGGUUGUAAAGCACUUUCAGUGAGGAAGAACGCCUGGUGGUUAAUACCCAUCAGGAAAGACAUCACUCACAGAAGAAGCACCGGCUAACUCCGUGCCAGCAGCCGCGGUAAUACGGAGGGUGCGAGCGUUAAUCGGAAUUACUGGGCGUAAAGCGCGCGUAGGUGGCUUGAUAAGCCGGUUGUGAAAGCCCCGGGCUCAACCUGGGAACGGCAUCCGGAACUGUCAAGCUAGAGUGCAGGAGAGGAAGGUAGAAUUCCCGGUGUAGCGGUGAAACGCGUAGAGAUCGGGAGGAAUACCAGUGGCGAAGGCGGCCUUCUGGACUGACACUGACACUGAGGUGCGAAAGCGUGGGUAGCAAACAGGAUUAGAUACCCUGGUAGUC